rnacentral:rRNA from 1 species
GAUGAACGCUAGCGGGAGGCUUAACACAUGCAAGUCGAGGGGCAGCACGGGUAGCAAUACCUGGUGGCGACCGGCAGACGGGUGAGUAACGCGUAUGUAACCUACCCUGUACAGGGGGAUAACCCGGAGAAAUUCGGACUAAUAUCCCAUAGAAAUAUUGGAAGGCAUCUUUUGAUAUUUAAAGUUCCGGCGGUACGGGAUGGGCAUGCGUAACAUUAGCUAGUUGGUAAGGUAACGGCUUACCAAGGCUUUGAUGUUUAGGGGUCCUGAGAGGGUGAUCCCCCACACUGGUACUGAGACACGGACCAGACUCCUACGGGAGGCAGCAGUGAGGAAUAUUGGUCAAUGGGUCGCAAGCCUGAACCAGCCAUCCCGCGUGCAGGAAGACGGCCCUAUGGGUUGUAAACUGCUUUUCCAGGGGGAGAAAUUUGCGCACGCGUUGCGUAAUUGACGGUACCUUGGGAAUAAGCAUCGGCUAACUCCGUG